GAUGAACGCUGGCGGCGUGCCUAAUACAUGCAAGUCGAGCGAACAGACGAGGAGCUUGCUCCUCUGACGUUAGCGGCGGACGGGUGAGUAACACGUGAUAACCUACCUAUUAGACUGGGAUAACUUCGGGAAACCGGAGCCAAUACCGGAAAAUAUAUUGAACCGCAUGGUUCAAUAGUGAAAGACGGUUUUGCUGUCACUUAUAGAUGGAUCCGCGCCGCAUUAGCUAGUUGGUAAGGUAACGGCUUACCAAGGCAACGAUGCGUAGCCGACCUGAGAGGGUGAUCGGCCACACUGGAACUGAGACACGGUCCAGACUCCUACGGGAGGCAGCAGUAGGGAAUCUUCCGCAAAGGGCGAAAGCCUGACGGAGCAACGCCGCGUGAGUGAUGAAGGUCUUCGGAUCGUAAAACUCUGUUAUUAGGGAAGAACAAAUGUGUAAGUAACUAUGCACGUCUUGACGGUACCUAAUCAGAAAGCCACGGCUAACUACGUG
rnacentral:rRNA from 1 species